rnacentral:rRNA from 1 species
GGAAUCUUGGACAAUGGGCGAAAGCCUGAUCCAGCGACGCCGCGUGACUGAUGAAGCCCCUCGGGGUGUAAAAGUCUUUCAGCGGGGACAAUGAUGAUGGUACCCGCAGAAGCAGCUGCGGCUAACUACGUGCCAGCAGCCGCGGUAAUACGUAGGCCGCUAGCGUUGUCCGGAAUUACUGGGCGUAACGCGAGUGUAGGCGGUUUGCCAAGUCCGUUGUGAAAUGUCCCGGCUCAACUGGGAGGGUGCGCCGGAAACUGGCAGGCUAGAGUGCGGAAUGGGAGAGUGGAAUUCCUGGUGUAGCGGUGAAAUGCGUAGAUAUCAGGAGGAACACCGGCGGUGAAGACGGCUCUCGGGACCGCCACUGACGCUGAGACUCGAAAGCGUGGGGAGCAAAC